GGGUAAGGCAAGUGAGGCAUUUGCCUGUUGGCUGAAGACUUGUCUGAUUUUUGAUCUUUCAGGUGGUUCAGCUGCUUUGUUCCACUAAACCUGAAAUUAACAGUUGAAGUUGAGAGUUAACUACUUCGAGCCCUCCUUCCUUCUCCUCAAAACAAGUGCAAAUGCCAUGAACAGACAGUUGCAAACAGGACUGAACUGUACACCAGGAAGAGUGGAGCCUGAGGCAUACAGAGAUACUGGGCAAGUGCACACACCAUGCUUGACAGUGGGAACAUUUGGUGAAUAAGCCAGAUAUGUUCCUGGCCCUAAAGAAGCUAUCAGUGGGUC
ensembl:lncRNA